GAAUUUGGAGCAGGAUCUGACUGCCCUGUAUGUCUCCCACUCAAGGCUGGCACGUCAGUGUGAAAGGGUGCUCAGGAGACCCUGGCUCCCAAAUGAUAAGACGCUUCACACCCUCUGGCCUCCUUCCCUUCCACCUCCAUCCAGGAUGACUCUAUCCUGCUGCUUGUAUAGGGAUGGGCUUCCCCAUCUUGGCCCCAGAACUGGUCCCCCAGAGAACAGGUUGCCUUGGCGAGGAUAUAGUGAUGAGGGUGCAGAACCUUGAGCUGCAUUGCUCACUUGUCCCUGGGUGGCUUCUAGAAUGUAGGACUCCAUUGCAGUUCUUCCUUCCGGGUCUGUCUACACUUGCACUGUGGGACUCUCCCCUAAGAACCCUGAGUGUCCACGUGAACCUUCUCAGUCUCUCCCUGGGGAUGUGUACAACCAAGAGAAACAGCCCUUUCCCUUCUUGGCCACCGAGUCAUUCCUGGGCUGUGGCUGGGACUUUUCCUUCCAAGUUGCAUUAUCCAACUCCCACCCCAGGAUCUCCACUGGUACCCAGAUGCCCUUAGACCCUUUCAUCUGGAAGCUCUUCAAACACCUCACAAACAGAUAUCAUUAUCUCCGCUGUCAGCCGAGGAACAGGAUUUGGGAGGCACCUCCAAGGGAGCAGGAGUCCCUCACACAGGCAGGUUCCCGGUGGACAGAGCAGGGAGUGACAGAAAAAUCAAGUUUCUAUGAAUAGCUGCCACUUCCAAGAAGCCGGGCUCUCCUUCCUGCCUCUGGGUGCAGCCAGCUGUUUGGAAAGCUGGGCAAGAUUAGCACCUCUAACAGGACUGGGAAGUCUCUAAGGUGGCCUCAGGAACAGAAGGGUAAGAGGCCCUUCUACCCUUGCCAAGACAAAUCUGUGCCCCAGCUUGCCUAUCUCCAAUCUCCUGCACCCCUGCAUGACAAACCUGGGAAGAACCAAUCAGGUCCUCUUCCACGACUGGCUUCAAGGGUCUAGCCUUGCUGUUCUCUGUAAUCACUGCCACCAGGAACACCU
rnacentral:lncRNA from 1 species